GCCGGAGUGGCGGAAUUGGUAGACGCACUCGACUCAAAAUCGAGCGGGAAACCGUAGGGGUUCGAGUCCCCUCCUCGGCACCA
rnacentral:tRNA from 1 species